rnacentral:tRNA from 1 species
GCUGACGUAGCUCAGCUGGUAGAGCAGCUGCCUUGUAAGCAGCAGGUCCCCGGUUCGAAUCCGGGCGUCAGCU